rnacentral:rRNA from 1 species
UACGUAGGCAGCAAGCGUUUGUUCGGAAUUACUGGGCGUAAAGCGUGCGUAGGCGGUGCCUCAAGUUUGGUGUGAAAUCUCCCGGCUCAACCGGGGGGGUGCGCCGAAAACUGAGGUGCUCGGAGUGUGGGAGAGGUAGGCGGAAUUCCGUGGUGUAGCGGUGAAAUGCGUAGAUAUCAGGAGGAACACCGGCGGUGUAGACGGCUUACUGGACCAUAACUGACGCUGAGGCACGAAAGUGUGGGGAGCAAACGG